ACUUCCGGCGGAUGUGGGGGGGCAACCCCGGAAACGGAAGUGAGCGGCGGGGCCGGCUGACGGUAACGGGUUGAGAGGCUGUGAGAAGAGCGAGUCGAAGAUGAAUGCCCGAGGACUUGGAUCUCAGCUAAAGGACAGUAUUCCAGUUACUGAACUUUCAGCAAGUGGACCUUUUGAAAGUCAAGAUCUUCUUCGAAAAGGCUUUUCUUGUGUCAGAAAUGAACUUUUGCCCAGUCAUCCUCUUGAAUUAUCAGAAAAAAAUUUCCAGCUCAACCAAGAUAAAAUGAACUUUUCCACCCUGAGAAACAUCCAGGGUCUGUUUGCUCCCCUCAAACUACAGAUGGAAUUCAAGGCAGUACAGCAGGUUCAGCGUCUUCCAUUUCUUCCAAGCUCAAACCUGUCACUGGAUAUUUUGCGGGGUAAUGAUGAGACUAUUGGAUUUGAAGAUAUUCUUAAUGACCCGUCACAAAGUGAACUAAUGGGAGAACCACAUUUGAUGGUUGAAUAUAAACUCGGUUUACUGUAAUGCAGUGUGCUGUUCAUGGAAAUAGAGGGUCUGCAACUUUAUAGUCGUCUUUUUACUACAAUUUGAUGUGCACAACAUUAAAAGUACUGACACUUGAGAAUUUUUGCCUAAAUAGUAUCUGUAAUCAUUUGAAAUUCUUUGGGUCUUUGGUUUAUGCCCGUGUGAUAAUUGAAAGCACUAAAGGAAGAUGAUUUUAAAACAUCUCAUUUAUAUUAAAACAAUAGCCUGUCUUUAAAGAAAAUGUUGCUAAUUAAUAAUAUAAAACCUCAUUGGUUCCAAUUCAAUCUACUUUCUAGUUACUCCGUAAAUUUAAUUUCGAGUAACCAUUAUCAGCAUUUGAGUCAGCAGCCUUCAUGGUAGCAUCUUUCAAAUAAAUGUCUAUAAUUGAUUUCAGUGGGAACAUUUCAAAGUAAAUACAAAAUAAGUGUUAUAUUUAUUUUCUUUUAGUACAGUCCAUUAAUAGUAAUAAGAAUAACAUUUGCUUUACUGAUGCUACUUUAGAAUUAUAAAAUAUAAGUUAUUUGGUUCUUUCAGGUUGGAAAGUAUAAGUUCAGAGGUUUUAAUUUUGGUCUUUAAAGUGAAAAGUUAAAACAACUGGCAGAUGUCAAACUGGUACUGCAUUAGAUUUAUAUAUCACAAGAUGCCUAAAUUUAAAAAAAAAGGAGGAGCUCCCAUCGUGGCUCAGUGGUUAACAAAUCCGACUAGGAACCAUGAGGUUUCGGGUUCCGUCCCUGGCCUUGCUCAGUGGGUUAAGGAUCCGGUGUUGCCAUGAGCUGUGGUGUAGGUUGCAGACAUGGCUCGGAUCCCGUGUUGCUGUGGCUCUGGCGUAGGCCGGUGGCUACAGCUGCGAUUAAACCCCUAGCCUGGGGACCUCCAUAUGCCGCAAGAGCGGCCCACAAAAGGCAAAAAGACAAAAAAAAAGGGGGGGGGGACAUUCCUAUACACACACACUAUACAUGAACAAAUUCCAUAAUUAUUUAAAAAUAAAUCUCUAGUUCUUAAUAAGGUAUUUUUUAUGAACUGAGUAU